GAUGAACGCUGGCGGCGUGCCUAAUACAUGCAAGUCGAGCGAACAGACGAGGAGCUUGCUCCUCUGACGUUAGCGGCGGACGGGUGAGUAACACGUGGAUAACCUACCUAUAAGACUGGGAUAACUUCGGGAAACCGGAGCUAAUACCGGAUAAUAUAUUGAACCGCAUGGUUCAAUAGUGAAAGACGGCUUUGCUGUCACUUAUAGAUGGAUCCGCGCCGCAUUAGCUAGUUGGUAGGGUAACGGCUUACCAAGGCAACGAUGCGUAGCCGACCUGAGAGGGUGAUCGGCCACACUGGAACUGAGACACGGUCCAGACUCCUACGGGAGGCAGCAGUAGGGAAUCUUCCGCAAUGGGCGAAAGCCUGACGGAGCAACGCCGCGUGAGUGAUGAAGGUCUUCGGAUCGUAAAACUCUGUUAUUAGGGAAGAACAAAUGUGUAAGUAACUAUGCACGUCUUGACGGUACCUAAUCAGAAAGCCACGGCUAACUACGUG
rnacentral:rRNA from 1 species